rnacentral:rRNA from 1 species
UCCGUAGGUGAACCUGCGGAAGGAUCAUUACCUAGAGUUGUAGGCUUUGCCUGCUAUCUCUUACCCAUGUCUUUUGAGUACCUUCGUUUCCUCGGCGGGUCCGCCCGCCGAUUGGACAAUUUAAACCAUUUGCAGUUGCAAUCAGCGUCUGAAAAAACUUAAUAGUUACAACUUUCAACAACGGAUCUCUUGGUUCUGGCAUCGAUGAAGAACGCAGCGAAAUGCGAUAAGUAGUGUGAAUUGCAGAAUUCAGUGAAUCAUCGAAUCUUUGAACGCACAUUGCGCCCCUUGGUAUUCCAUGGGGCAUGCCUGUUCGAGCGUCAUUUGUACCUUCAAGCUCUGCUUGGUGUUGGGUGUUUGUCUCGCCUCUGCGUGUAGACUCGCCUCAAAACAAUUGGCAGCCGGCGUAUUGAUUUCGGAGCGCAGUACAUCUCGCGCUUUGCACUCAGAACGACGACGUCCAAAAGUACAUUUUUACACUCUUGACCUCGGAUCAGGUAGGGAUACCCGCUGAACUUAAGCAUAUCAAUAAGCGGAGGA